GAUGAACGCUGGCGGCGUGCCUAAUACAUGCAAGUCGAGCGAACAGACGAGGAGCUUGCUCCUCUGACGUUAGCGGCGGACGGGUGAGUAACACGUGGAUAACCUACCUAUAAGACUGGGAUAACUUCGGGAAACCGGAGCUAAUACCGGAUAAUAUAUUGAACCGCAUGGUUCAAUAGUUAAAGACGGUUUUGCUGUCACUUAUAGAUGGAUCCGCGCCGCAUUAGCUAGUUGGUAAGGUAACGGCUUACCAAGGCGACGAUGCGUAGCCGACCUGAGAGGGUGAUCGGCCACACUGGAACUGAGACACGGUCCAGACUCCUACGGGAGGCAGCAGUAGGGAAUCUUCCGCAAUGGGCGAAAGCCUGACGGAGCAACGCCGCGUGAGUGAUGAAGGUCUUCGGAUCGUAAAACUCUGUUAUUAGGGAAGAACAAAUGUGUAAGUAACUAUGCACGUCUUGACGGUACCUAAUCAGAAAGCCACGGCUAACUACGUG
rnacentral:rRNA from 1 species